rnacentral:rRNA from 1 species
AGUGGCGGACGGGUGAGUAACGCGUGAGCAAUCUGUCCCACAAGGGGGAUAACAACUGGAAACAGUUGCUAAUACCGCAUAAGACCACACUGUCGCAUGACAGAGAGGUCAAAGGAGCAAUCCGCUGUGGGGUGAGCUCGCGUCCGAUUAGAUAGUUGGUGGGGUAACGGCCUACCAAGGCGACGAUCAGUAGCCGACCUGAGAGGGUAAUCUGCCACAAUGGGACUGAGACACGGCCCAUACUCC